AACGCUAGCUACAGGCUUAACACACGCAAGUCGCGGGGUAACGAGAGGGAAGCUUGCUUUCCUUGUCGACGACCGGCGCACGGGUGAGUAACGCGUAUCCAACCUGCCCAUUACCACGGGAUACCCCGUCGAAAGGCGGCCUAAUACCGUAUGCAGUCGUCAGAUGACAUCAGAGGACGACGAAAGGAUUGGCGGUAAUGGAUGGGGAUGCGUCUGAUUAGGUAGUUGGAGGGGUAACGGCCCACCAAGCCAUCGAUCAGUAGGGGUUCUGAGAGGAAGGUCCCCCACAUUGGAACUGAGACACGGUCCAAACUCCUACGGGAGGCAGCAGUGAGGAAUAUUGGUCAAUGGGCGCGAGCCUGAACCAGCCAAGUAGCGUGAGGGAUGACGGCCCUAUGGGUUGUAAACCUCUUUUAUGCGGGAAUAAAAUGUUUGACGUGUCAUACAUUGUAGGUACCGCAAGAAUAAGGACCGGCUAAUUCCGUGCCAGCAGCCGCGGUAAUACGGAAGGUCCAGGCGUUAUCCGGAUUUAUUGGGUUUAAAGGGAGCGUAGGCCGCAAGUCAAGCGUGUUGUGAAAUGCAGGGGCUCAACCUCUGGAUUGCAGCGCGAACUGGCAUGCUUGAGUACGCACGAGGUAGGCGGAAUUUGUGGUGUAGCGGUGAAAUGCUUAGAUAUCACGAAGAACUCCGAUUG
rnacentral:rRNA from 1 species